rnacentral:lncRNA from 1 species
UGUAAGGUCCCCUUGCAAGUGAGAGCUGUGGUGUUCUUUUUGGUGCGCUUCCAAGUUACCAACGUUGCUUGCCACUCUGCCAACGUAGGAUAGUAUUGCAGCGGUUCAGGCUACACCCAGGUUGAAGUUGUUAGUGUCGAGUACAACGCGUAUUUGUAGGACUGGUCACGUGUUUAGGUAGAUUGUGGUAUCUUGAAUAAUUGCGACGGAAACAAAGGUAAGAGAGAUCUCUAGCGUAAGGAAGAAAGAGGUCCUUCGCGAUGAAAUUAGUGCUCGUGUUCUUUCUUUAACUUGUCCGCAGGAUACUACUUACUGUAUCAUUUGUUUAAAUAAAGUCACCGCUUGCCCCGGCUUUUCUCCCAACUUCGAGAGAACUUUUAUGCCUCGGCAAGUGUUCUAUACCGCGUAAAA